AUUGAACGCUGGCGGCAGGCCUAACACAUGCAAGUCGAGCGGAUCGGCGGCCGGGUGCGUCUUUCCUAUGUCUCUGCCUGGUAGUGGUGGAUAACGACCAGAAACGGGCGCUAAUACCACAUACUAUCCGUUUCUCCUAGGUCGGAUUAGCUAGUUGGUGGGGUAAAGGCCUACCAAGGCGACGAUCCGUAACUGGUCUGAGAGGAUGAGCAGUCACACUGGAACUGAGAAACGGUCCAGACUCCUACGGGAGGCAGCAGUGGGGAAUAUUGGACAAUGGGCGAAAGCCUGAUCCAGCCAUGACGCGUGUGUGAAGAAGGUCUUCGGAUUGUAAAGCACUUUAAGUUGGGAGGCGUUACCAACAGAAUAAGCACCGGCUAACUUCGUGCCAGCAGCCGCGGUAAUAC
rnacentral:rRNA from 1 species